AUUGAACGCUGGCGGCAUGCCUUACACAUGCAAGUCGAACGGCAGCACGGGUGCUUGCCCCUGGUGGCGAGUGGCGAACGGGUGAGUAAUACAUCGGAACAUGUCCUGUAGUGGGGGAUAGCCCGGCGAAAGCCGGAUUAAUACCGCAUACGAUCUACGGAUGAAAGCGGGGGCCCUUCGGGCCUCGCGCUAUAGGGUUGGCCGAUGGCUGAUUAGCUAGUUGGUGGGGUAAAGGCCUACCAAGGCGACGUUCAGUAGCUGGUCUGAGAGGACGACCAGCCACACUGGGACUGAGACACGGCCCAGACUCCUACGGGAGGCAGCAGUGGGGAAUUUUGGACAAUGGGCGAAAGCCUGAUCCAGCAAUGCCGCGUGUGUGAAGAAGGCCUUCGGGUUGUAAAGCACUUUUGUCCGGAAAGAAAUCCUUGGCCCUAAUACGGUCGGGGGAUGACGGUACCGGAAGAAUAAGCACCGGCUAACUACGUG
rnacentral:rRNA from 1 species